UGAGACAAAUUACAAAUUAAAUGCACUUAGUUACAAAAACAAAGCAAAAUCUAAUGCAAAGCAUGCAAUCUUUUAUUCCUGCAGGAUAAAAUCUUUAUUUCACAGGCAUUAAAAGCUGAAACCAGGCCUCCAGAGAUCAGCUCAGAGACGGAGCGAGAGGCUGGAAGCCGUCAUCGCCUGUGUCGCUUGUGAGAACUUUCAUUUUGGCACUUGUUAGCUGCUCCAAAGCACCCAAUCCUUCUGAACUGACACAAGCAUCAAGUGGAAAUGAAACAUACACCCACAAAAACCCUAAGCUUCCUGUGAAAGGCCAAAAUUAACCCUAGCAUAAACAACCGCAGGGACAAACUGUGAGGGAGCGAUCAAGAUGUGUUAGUCUCAUGGCUGCUGGCUUGUUAUCUCACAAUGCAGCAAUAUAAACAGGAGGACCAACGUACAGACCGAUGUAACGCCUGCAGGAACAAAACACGAUGCUCAACACAAUGUGGCUGGAUGUCCCACUCCGCUUUUCCCCUCCAGUUUUACAUUCCUUCACAGAUUCUUAAUAAAUUGUAUGGGAACAUGUUUAUGUGGUUUUGUAUUUCUUCAGUUAAACUUCAGUAAAAAGAGAAACUAACGUUAGCAUUUCCAAUAUGGGCUAAUUUAACUGCACAAAGUUAAUUCUGUUAAACAUAAGCUACUGGAUCCCAAACAGGAAAUGGUUUUCCACAGGGGGAACAUUUCCAGCACUGAUAAACUGGUUGAUUAUUUUCUUAAUAUGCUAUUAAUAAUAUCACGUUGGUUUGACGCUGCAGUGAUGCUUUGAGCUGUUACAUCCUUUAACACAUACAAGGCUUGUUUUUUUCACACUUAUGAUUAUGAUCAAAGAAAAUGUUAUGUCAUACAGAGAUGGUACUUAAAUGAUUUCGUUAUUACGAGAAUAAAACUAUCCAAAUCAACCUAGCUCUGGGUUGAAAGUAUCAGCUCUUUUUUAAAUCAUGACUUUUUUAUAUUUCUUGAAACAUUUUUGACUAUUCUUCUUUGGAAAAUAGCUUAUAUUUAUUCAGAUUGAAUAGAUAGCAAUCAUUAAUGUAUUAACUUUCAAAAUUUGACACAAAUUCUCAAUUGUUUUUAUGUUUCGACUUUGACUAGGCCAUUCUGACACAUUCUUUGAUCUAAACAUAGCUCUAGCUGCAUGUUCAGGGUUGUGACUCAAAUGUUUUUGGGGGUUGUUUGGCUCUCGUGGCCUUUGUUUGAGAGUACUAGGACAGGAAAGUGGCUAGACAUGCAGAAAAGGUCACCAGGCUGGGAUUCGAACCUGUGACGGCCGCAUCGAGGGCUGAGACCUCCUUAUGUGGGUUGUGCUAAACCCUUGCGCCACCACAGCACACUCCAACACUUUAAGUUUUAAAU